rnacentral:lncRNA from 1 species
CGGGGAGACCGCGUUUAGAGGAUCAGUGGCGGCGGGCCCGCGCGGUGCCGGCGACUAGCAGCGAGAUGUCCUGGCCCCUUCCAGGUUUGGAGAUGGCCUUGGGAGAGCAACCUCCGGACCUCAGCAGUGUGAGGAUGACAACAGUACCCUGUGGUGCUGUCCCCACUCAGGGUUUCUCUCUGUAGCCCCGACUGUCCUGGAACUCACUCUGCAGACCAGGCUGUCCUCAAGCUCAGAGAUCUACCUGCCUCUGCCUCUGAAGUACUGGGAUUAAAGAUGCAGAGGCCUCCCAGAGAAGUGUGAAGGAAUGGGCCUUAACCAGGGUUGAAGAAAGAAAGUGAAGAAGGGGAGAGCCCAAGGAAAGGUGGGGACAGUUGGAACUUUUGUUUACACUGGUCUACUACUCAUGUAUCGUAUGCUAUAAUCUCCAAAUUCCACAUUUAUUGUAGCUGUCUGCAGUGUGUAUGCCCCGGCCGCAUGCUGCUUGGCUAAAAAAGUGUUAAAUAAAACUGUAAGAAACGCUA